UGGCACCACAAGAGUUGCUGCACGUGUACAAAUUGCCACUGAAUGGAUUUCGUCUCUUGCCCGUCAAUCUAGCCGCUGUCGAUGUUUAAUUCUUUGUGCCAUGUGUCUGUGGAAGGUAAUAAAAGCUUUGAGCAGCAGUUGCACAAUAAAGAUUUGUCAUGGGGAUAUCACCUCCGUCUUGCGCGUCUUACUGAGGGGAAGUAGUUCUGCAAGUUCAAAUGGUGUCUCCCUGGAAUGCAAGUAUGUGGCAUAUUUCAGCCUCUUAACAGCACUCCAUUAAUAGUGAUUUGCCUGUUCAUUUGAAGUGCAUGUGUCCCUGGAAGCACUUAGCAGUCUCCUGCGUCUGGUAGGUAGCAGUCUUAGCUUUUUGGCGUUUUUGGCAUUAUGUUUUACCUUUCAUCCUACGUUGACAAAAAUUUCCUUCAAACUGGAGAGAGCCAAGGGUUAUGGAACUGUGUUUCACUGGAGAAUCAUAGGAUCCUAGAGCAGCCCAGGUUUGAAGGGACCUCGAAAGAUCAUCUGGUUCAGCCUUUUGUUGAAAAGGAAUCUUAGAUGAUAUUAUCUAGCACUCUUUCCAAUAGUAUCUUGAAAACCUUCAGCGAUGGGGACUGGUGCAACCUCUGCCCAUUGUUCCUUCUCCAUGUGGCUCUGUGUGAAGAGAAUCUCCAUCCUCUGUAGCUUCCCUUUAAGUACUGCAAUAUUCUGCCGAGGCUCUCCCGAGCCUAGGCAGGUUGCUAACAUUUUGCAAAUAAUUUCUUUGUCUUUGCUAGUCUUCAUGUGGCCUCUCACUGCUUUUGGAUGUUCCUCCACAGCUUUCCAAUUGUGCCAGUUUUCCCAAGUGCAGAUAUCUGAAAACUUAAGACUUUGACUUAUUCCCUGCUUCUGUAAGUAGUCAGUGCUAUUGCUUGCCAGGCUGCAGACUAAACCAACUUAUUGAGAAUGAGUGUUUUAGGUCGCUUAAAGAAUUGCCGGCAAAGGUAUUGACAAAAGCAGGUUUAAUAUAAAAGUGAGUGUCACAAAGUUCUUUGGCAAGGUUUACUCUACUCUACCAGAUGGUUAAAGCACUCAGAGAAAAAACAAACUAAAAUCUAAAAUCGAUCAAUCUAAAACUAAAAUCAACUCAAAAAUUGUCUAUGUUGAGGCUUGGUGGGGGGAUGGAAGGGUGUGGAUAAAAAGGAAUAAGGAAGACCCUCCGGUUGAGUCUUCUCUAUGUUGCUGCUCAUGAAGAGAGGCUCUGUCCUCUUUUUAGCUGCCUUUUGAGAGCUGGAAUAUUGUCAUGAUAUUCCUCCUGAGCCAUGUCUCAUCUAAGGGAGAAAAGACCAAAUUCUUACAGUCUUUCCUCACAUUUUCCAGCCUUUUGAUCAUCUUCGUUGCCCUCCUUGGGAUCUUCUCCCAUCUGUCUGCAUUUUUUGGUUGAAUUCUGGGGACCAGAACUGGACACAGCACUCCAGGUUCUGCUUGCAGGCAUGGCCUCUGUGAGAAGAGACCAGGGUCUGCCCUAUGCUGGACACAGCUAGUUUCUGCCAGCUAGGCAGCAGACUCCUUGAGGGCCGAAUCCGAGCAACUCAGCAAAGCUGGUGGCAUCCCUGUGUAAGCAUAUUUAAGAAAUGGCAAAAUGCUGUCUGGGGCAGGUACUUCCCUGCUGCCCUUGGAUCUGGAAGGUGGCUAUGUCCUGAAGUAACUUUUUCAUCCUAUUUUGUCCCCCCUCCUGUUGAGGAGGGGUGGUGAGAGAACAGCUGUUUGGGCCUCUGACAGCCAGCCAAGAUCUGUCAUCAGCCUAAAAGGCAGGUUCAUCCAUUUAGAAGUAGAUGGGGAUUGGUGGUUUAGAGACUGAUAGUGACCGGGGUAGGAACAGAACUUUUUGGAAGUAGCAAAUUCCAUCAAUAUCUGGGGAUCCACUCACUUUGAGAGGGGGAAGUUUCAAUGGAAAAAGCCUUCUUUCUGAGCAAUAAGAGGUUCUUAUAAGAAAAAUGAUCUAGUCUCCAUUUUUUUCUCACUUGUUAAUACAAGUGGCAAAGAUCUGGAACUCCUGCAUUGAAAGGGAUGUCACUGAGCAGAGACUGUUGGGCGUUCUAUGUGUGUUGGAUACCCAGGACCAGCUAUAAAGAGGUCAUGGCAGAGAUGUGAGGUUGGUCUGGCUAAACAUGAUUAAGACAGGGUCUUACAGAAGGCAAUUCCUUGAGGAUGUGAAGGGUAAAAGGAUAAUAAGUAAGGCUGGCAAUGUUCCCAACUUGUUUGGAAGGAUUGGGACUGAAUGUUGAUUUGAGUGAAGCGCAGGUACCAGUCUGUCUUCUAUAACUGCAAUUUCAGCAGCAAAGGAUGCCCAAAGCUGAGUAUCAGGCUCCAAUAAUGCUGUAUCAGGUGUGGCUGAGAUGAAGUUCAUUUCUCCACAGCAGUCCUCACAGUGCUGUGCUUUGCAUUGGUAGCUAGAAAGGUGUUGCUAGCACCCCAGUUUUUUGGCUACUGCUGAGCAGUGUUGGCACAGCAUCAGUGCUGUCUCUCCAACAAUUCUACCCCAUCAUCACUAGGCUGGGGCUCGCAAGAUCUUGGGGGGAGAUGCAACCAGAACAGCUGACCCAAAUUGGCCCGAGGGAUUUUUCAUACUGUAUGACAUCAGCUGACAUAUAAAAGCUAAGUAAAGGAGGAGGAAGGGGAGGCAUUUGUUAUUUACAAUGUUUGCCUUCUGUAGUAACUGCUAAGCUUGCUGAAGGAAGCCCUGCUUCCCAGGAAGUGGCCAGACAGCGCUUGUUGGUGGGAACUAGACAAUAUUUUUUUUUCCACGUCUGCUUGUUUGCACACAAACUUUCACUUUUGCUUUAGUAAACUGCCUUAUCUCAACCUGUGAGUUGUUUUCCAUUAUAUUUUCUCUUUCCUGUCCAACUGAGAAGGGGGAGUGAUAAAGUUGCUCAGUGGAUACCUGGCAUCCAGCCAAGGUCAACGCACCACAGAUGUUUUUGAUGGUGUCCAGGUGUUGCAGAACAGUCAGAGAUCAUUUUGACAGAUCUGAUCAAGUAGCUCAUUUAUUGAGUUCUGGUCCUACUUGUUGAGCAUUUGCCUGGACCAAAUUUCAUAUAGUUCAAACAGGAGAAGCACAUCUGUGACACCAGUUUUCUCCUAGCAGUGACCCCAGAGCUCUGAAGGCGAUAGUCAAGGACAUGGAGGCCCAGGGGGUGUUCUCAUCAGUUCCGCCACUGAGAGGAAAGGACAAGAGGAAGAGGGCACUGAUAAUGUGCAUCAAUAAUUGGCUGCAGAGCUGGUGCUGGCAACAGGGUUUUGGGUUCUAUGAGCAUGGGACCCUGUUUGUGGAUCAGCAUCUGCUUGGGAGAGAGGGGCUCCUCCUCACUAAGCAAGGCAAAGGUGUUUUUGCCAGAAGGAUAUCUGACCUCAUUAGGAGGGCUUUAAGAACGAGGACAAGGGCAGGGAGAGGAAGAGAGUAACCAGCCGCCCUGUGAGGGAGUGACAGACCGGGUCAAUGAGCAAAGGGCAGGGCAAGAGCUUUAGUACCUUGAAGUCCCCCCUUAGGGCCCAAAGCAGCAGUCAAUGUCAUAGUUGCAAGCCUACCCAGUGGGAAGAUCUCCUUAAGACAAGUAAGUGUGUUAAGAGGAGCUUGACAGGCAACAUGGUGUAAGGCCCAAAAAAAUGUUGUCGACAAGACUUAAAAGGGCUUAUGGUUUUUCAUAGACUCUGAGUUAGAUGCACAGUGGAAAUACCAACAAAAUAUUCUCAAGAGGUCAAAACAACAACAAUCUUUACUGGCAACUUCAGACAAUCGGAGAACUUUGGAAAAAGUUUAAAGCAACAUUCAAUCAACAUAAAACAUUUCACAAAGCAUUAACUUAGCCCAUUUAACUUAGAAGAAGAAAGAGAAAAAAUAUAAAAAAAACCAAAUAUAGCUACCACUCCUGGUUCCAGUGGUGUUGCUGGUUGGUUGGAAACAUACCCUGUAAACCAUGCCACUGCUUUAAACAGUAUCUUAAGCCUUGAAAGGCACAUUUUUUUUGUGACAUGGUACUCCAGAAAAAAUGGAAUCAGACAUUGGGAAUAAUUUUCAAAAUAAUUUUAUAAACUCUUGGGCAAAGAAACAUGCAAUGAGUGGAUAUAUCACAUCCCUUGUCACCCACAAGUCUCUGGAAAGAUUGAGAAGUAUGAUGGACUGCUAAGGACUGUUAAGAGGGUUGGGCAAUUGGGUAUGGAAGCAUUGGGUAGCAAAUUUAGCAGAAGGCACUUCUCUGGUUAACACUAGAGGAUCUGCUAAGCACCCUGGUCCUGCCCAAACAAAACCAAUACAUAGUGCGGGAGGAGAUAAGAUCCCAGUAAGGGAAGUGUCUAGGGAAGUCAUUGUGGAUUUCUUCUCCCACUGGAAAGGCAAAGCCAUUAAUUGGGUUGUCUUUGCCCUAGGACCUAGGCAUACUUGGUAGGUAAUGCAGAAGGAUGGGAAGACCUGGUGUGCCUCAAGGAGAUUUAACCUUGGGGGGAAAAAAUAAUCUGUGGUCUAAGUUGUAUGUUGCAGGAAUGACAUGAACUGAUGAAGAAUUAAUUUUGCAAGGAGAGUGCGAUGAUGACCUGAACCGGGGCAGUGUCAAUGCCCAUUGAUCAAGUAUACUGCUUAUCCUGUCCUGACUACCCAUCCUGAUGGAAUAGAGCCAAAGUCAUGGGUCUGGAGGGGUGAAGGAUGCCCGUGAAAUUGGAAAAUAAUAUCUAUUUGUGAAUGGACGGGUGGAUAAUAGUUAAUGAAAAUGUAUGUUUGAUAUAGAGAUGGUUUAAAGAUGUAGUUUAAGUUGUAUGUGUGAGUAAGAAGGGAUUGCUGUAAUGAGAAAUAAAUACAACGGAACAGUUGGAAGAUAUAUAAAUUAUGUGGGAUCUGAGCAUGAUACAAAUGGCAUGGAAUAAGUAGUGGAGAUUGUAUUGGAUCUGACUGAGCUGGAGUUCAUUUUCUCAUAGCACCCUCACAGUGCUGUGCUUUGCAUUGGUAGCUAGAAAGGUGUUCUAACACACCAGUGUUCUGACUACUGCUGAGCAGUGCUGUCUGUUUAACAUUCCCCCUUCCUAUCAAGGGUCUGGGAGUGGGCAAGAUCCUACAAAGGGGACACAACUAGGCCAGCUGACCUAAAGUAACCAAAGGGAUAUUCCAUACCAUAUGAUGUCAGCUCAGAUAUAAAAGCUGAGUGAGGGAGGAAGAACGGUAGGCAUCUGUUAUUCUACAAUUUUGCCUUUCCGUAUCAACCACUAGGUGUGCUGAAGCCUUGCUUCCUGGGAAGUCACUGAACAUUGCUCACUAAUGGGAAGUAGAGAUUAUUUUUCUCUUUGCUUAUGUGCACGCAAACUUUUGUGCUUUUUUUCUUGCUUUAGUAAACUGCCUUCUCUCAACCUAUUGUUUUCCAUCUUAUUUUUCUCUCCUGUCUUGCUGGGGAGUGAUAGAAUGGCUUGGUGGGUACCUGGUGUCUAGCCAAGGUCAAACCACUACGUCCACUCCUUGUCAAAAAAUAUAAGCUUUAAGGAUAGGCCAGUUUUCAAUAGUUAGGCUUCCUUUCCUUUUGGAAUCCAUGACCUUAGAGGUUCAGGUAUCAUCAUAAUCCAAAAAAAAUAUACAUGUCGCAGAUGAACAUGCUUAUUACUCCCACCAUCCAGGUUUCAGAGGCAUUCCCGAGACCCAUACCCAGGGACAGAGGAAAAUGUCAGUGGGCACCAUGGGAUGAUUACAUUCAGUACAAAUUCUACUACAUGAUAGUCUAGAUUGCCUAAGGGGUGGGGGUCAAAGAUAUGCCAAAACUCAAGUCAUUCCAAACUCCUCAGCACAUUGUUUCACUCAGGGUCCUGGGUUCAGACCAAAUGCCUUUGCUACUUUACCAAACCCUUCAUUGGUUCUCAAAUCUGAAAUCUUUCUUCUCUUUUGUGAGCUUAAUGACUUAUGCCUUCUUCAUCCACAGCUUGAGAGAACUUUCCAGCUGCCACUUCAGCUCCUCUGUCAGCCCAUUUUCUCCCUCCUUCCAGUGGCCACCAACAGUUUGACAUCCCCUUUUUCUGUAUAAUUGGGCUUUACAGCUUGCUUACCUCUAAUAUGUGUGCUUCCCUUGAUAUAGUAAUUUUAUACUUUCCUCUGAGGAAGGAAGAGGUACACAAAUUUGAUUCCAUAAUAAUAUAAAAUCCUAUGUGAGUUCCCAAAACAAAAUCGUGGGAGGAAUCUUUUCCACACACUGUAACAACCUGAGAAAAAAUACAAACAUGUAAAACAUUGCUUGCAACAAACUUAUAUAGAACACAUACAAACAUAAAUAUCUCACAACUAUCAAGACAAACAUGUAAAAAAUGGAUGCAGCAAACAACAACAACAACUCUUCAGUCCUGUUGCCACUUCACCCUCUCAUGGAACACCUCUUCUCUUGGAAUAUCUGCAAGAGGAGAGAAAAAAGAAAACUCAGUCCUUCUUGGAUCAGUCUUAAAAGGAAAGAACUGUCCAUCUGCUGGUAUUUUGUGUUUUCUGCCAGAGGCAUCUGUGGCCUUUAAUUCCAGAAUGACUUCAGCAAUUUGGUUCCUUGCCUCUAGUGGCAGACAAGGCUCUAUAUUCACUAUCACCAGAAGGUGGCAGUGUAGGAGCAUUUUGCAAACCAUUGCCAGUCCUGGGAACCUGAACUUCCAUUUAUUUCCAGGAAGCCUGUUAGGAUAUUUGAAUUCAUCACCCUCCCCCAGCUCACUUCUUAGGGGCAGAGUUGAGAAUUUGUUUUCUUGGUCUUGAUCCUUAAAUUUUGCAAUAAACAACAAAAACAUGGGAGAAGGUUGACAGGACACCAGCUGUUUGUCAUGCAUUGGUUGGAAGCCAGCUGCCUCCCACACUCUCUUAGUGCUUUUAGCAAAUUUUGGAGUGGGGAGAGGGCUGGAUUCUCCCCCCUCCAACAGGUCCAAACUUUUUACACAAAAGGUCAUUCCCCGGGCAAGAGACCAGAGUUAUUUGCCAUGUGCUUUCUCCUCAGAAAACUUUGUUUCAUUCCCCCUCAUUAGUGAAAUUUCCAAAACAUUCUCUAUUUCAUUUUCUUUGGGAUGAUUGCUACUUUUCACUUGCUACAUAACCAAUUCUGUUGCAAAAUGAGAUAUCAUUACCAUGGGCUCUGCCUCCUGGUAAAGAAUUCUAUCUUUACAAGUGGGCAGAACUUGGGGUGGGUGAGGGAAGAGGGGGCUGGCUUUACUGAGUUCUCAUCCAGGGAGUGGAGGAAGGUGACAUCAUGCUCAGGGAGUCUCACCUCCCUCUCUGCCUCCUAAUUUUUUACAGGUGGGCAGAGUUUAGGGUGAUGAAGGGGGUUUGGCUGUGCUACAUCAAACUCCUUCCAAGGGCUGAGGGGGUUGACAUGCUCAUGGAAGUUCACCUCCUUGAGGUUGGAAAACCCUGGUUCAUUCUCCACACCUCACUCAUCAGUGUUAAUUUGCAAAUCAGAGCAUCUUUGGCUCUGGACAAGCUUGUUCAACUGUUUUUUCAGGUUUUAGGAUAACUUCACAUACAAUUCUGGAUCCACCCUGAGUUUACCUAUUUUUUCAGCCACCAAUGUAAUUUGCAACUCAAUUAGCUUUCUGUUGCUGCUCGGCAACAUAUUUCUCUCUUUGUGCAGCUAUGAGCCCAGCUUCCACCCAUACGGUUGCCAAACAAUUUUCCUCAUUUAAAGAUUUUUUCAAUUUCUUUACUCAAAGAUCUGAUUUUCUCUGCAACUUGUUGUGGUGAACUAUCCAAGUGUAGGGACACGAGGCUUGACUCCAUUUUUCUCAGAAGGUUGGUUUAUUAUGUUAUAUAUUAUAUUAAAAUACUACAUUAAAACUAUACUAAAAGAACAGAGAGAGAAGAAGGAUCAGAAGGUUACAAAGAACAAGAAUAGAAUAGAAUAGAAUGCAUAACAAAAUCUUGUGACUGCUCACAGCCUUGGCACAGGUGGCUGUGAUUAGUCACUAAUUGAAAACAAUCCACAUGGACCAAUGGAAGAUGCACCUGUUGCAUUCCACAGCAGCAGAUAGUUAUUGUUUACAUUUCUUUCCUGAGGCUCUCAGCUCCUCAGGACGGGAAAAAUCCUAGGAAAGGAUUUUUCAUAAAAUAUCAUGGUUACACAACUAACUGCAGAUUGUGCCAGAUUUCCUCAGGCCCACAUCUCUCUGUUUAGGGCCAGACAAGUUUUGUAAGCUUUUAGCAGCUCUAUCAGUGGAGGGAAGUCCAGAUCAAUUUUUACCCUGGUGUCGGAAAAGAUACCAAGUUUAAAAUUUUUUAUAUAACUUUAGUCAGAGGUUUUGCUUACCUUUGCUCUGGGGGAAAGGAAUUUCAAGUUUCUUUUCAGUGUACUGUUUCAUCACUCAAGGCAUGAUGAGUUUAACAUCUCAACACACUGGAAGUAGGACAGAAGAGACAAAAAAGAUAAUGACCAUUAACGACCAGCAACUCUGAACAUCACCCCUGCCAUGGUCUGAGACACUGGUCCAGAAAAGACUGAUAAGACAACCAAGGAAUGAGGACCAAAUUAGCAUUGGAGGUGAAGAAAUCUAUAACCAAUAGGAAACCAGAUACUAAGAACUGCAUAAUUUGGGACCAAUGAACAUUGAACGAAUGAAUUUCUAUGGGUUUUGACUGUAUAAAGUAUGUGAAAAAUCUAGUAAAAUUAUAUGUGAUUGAAUGAUUUUCUCUGCACGACCCCGGCAAUGUGUGGAUGAAAUUAUUUCUGUUUCACAUCCUGGCCAGAACAACAUUGUGGCCAGAAUAAAGUAAUGCCUUGAUUCUCUAACACUAAAAAUGUUGUUGGAGAGUUUUUGUUUUUCCCACAGUUUCAAUCACGCUGGUUUCCAUGACCUUUCUGCCAGAAAAUAUUGUUUUCGCCCAAAAUUAAGUUUCUCCCUUAUUCUGCCACUAGCAGUUUUCUCUGUAUAAAACACCUCCUCAUCACCUCAAGGUACCCUGCUUGCUGUGCUAAUAAAAUGCAAGGUCCCAAAACCCACUCAAUGAGACACUUAAAAGGCUUUACUUUUUUACGUACCCUGAGUUAGACACAGCAGAAAUACCAACAAGAUAUUCUCAAGUGGUCAAGACAACAAACACUUUAGUAAGAACUUCAGAAAAUCAGAGAACUUUGACAGAAGUUUAAAGCAACAUCCUAUUAACAUAAAACAUUUCACAAAGCAUUAACUUAGCCCAUUCAACUUAGCAAACUCCAAGCCCAUCCAAUUUUGAGUUACUCAAAACUGUGAGAAGAGGUAAUUAGAACAAGAAGAAGAAAGAGAAAGAUAGAAAAUAUAUAGAAAAGAACAAAUUUAGCUACCACCCCUGCUUCCAGCAGUGUCUCAGCUGAUAGAAAUUUGAAGAGGAGGUAGGGUCAAGACGUGCUUGCUUCAUGUCCUUGCUUAACUAUCUGUAUUGGGGUUCAUUAUCUCAUAGGACCCUCCCAGUGCUGUGCUUUGCAUUGGUAGCUUGAAGGGUGUUAACACACUAGUGUUUUGGCUACUGCUGAGCAGCAUUAGCACAGUAUCAGAGCUGUCUCUCUGACGUUGCCUCCCAUCAAGGGUCUGGGAAUGGGCAAGAUCCUGGGAGGGGACACAACCAGGCCAGCUGACCCAAAUUAACCAAAGGGGUGUUCCAUACCAUGUGGUGUCAGCUCAGUUAUAAAGGUAAGUGAGGGAAGAAGAAUGGGGGUAUUUGUUAUUUUAUAAUGUUUGCCUUCCUGGAGCAACUGCUAUGCGUGGUGAAGCCCUGCUUCCUGGGAAGUAUCUGAACACCACUUGCCAAUGGAACUGCGUUGUCCAGCCCAAGCAGAGAAAGAAGACAACAUGAAUAUGUGCAACCAUGAAAAGAACAAGAGUCUGCCUCAGGCUGAAUAAAGUGUAUAAAAACUGCCCAGACCAGAAAGCUUGCGUGAACAGAGGGGGAUCCGAUGCGGUAGAGAUUGACUCCGUGUUCACCCAGUGCCAAACCCGAGCUCGGAGCUGUCCCUUUUGAUUGUGGCUGUCGGAGACUGUAUCUCGGUCACGAAAUAAAAUCUAUAUUUACAAAUUA